AUGAAUUGAACGGGGGCCCGCACAAGCGGGUGGAGCAUGUGGUUUUAAUUUCGACGCAACGCGAAGAACUUUACCUGGCCUUGACAUGCAGAGAACUUUCCAGAGAUGGAUUGGUGCCUUCGGGAACUCUGACACAGGUGGUGCAUGGCCGUCGUCAGCUCGUGUCGUGAGAUGUUGGGUUAAGUCCCGUAACGAGCGCAACCCCUAUCCCUAGUUGCUAGCAGUUCGGCUGAGAACUCUAGGGAGACUGCCGGUGACAAACCGGAGGAAGGUGGGGAUGACGUCAGGUCAUCAUGGCCCUUACGGCCAGGGCUACACACGUGCUACAAUGGCGCGCACAGAGGGCUGCAAACCCGCGAGGGGGAGCUAAUCUCACAAAACGCGUCGUAGUCCGGAUCGGAGUCUGCAACUCGACUCCGUGAAGUCGGAAUCGCUAGUAAUCGUGAAUCAGAAUGUCACGGUGAAUACGUUCCCGGGCCUUGUACACACCGCCCGUCACACCAUGGGAGUGGAUUGCACCAGAAGUGGUUAGUCUAACCUUCGGGAGGACGAUCACCACGGUGUGGUUCAUGACUGGGGUGAAGUCGUAACAAGGUAGCCGUA
rnacentral:rRNA from 1 species